GAGGCUUAGGUUACCUAGGGUGCUGUUCUACUGUCAUGGUGAAAUGGACUCAGUGUUCCCCAGUAAGCUGCUUUUUCUUCAUGUUUUCUACUGUCUCUGUGAAAUAGUUUUAGAGACUCUAGGUGCUAGUUAUCCUUGGUGGUGCCUUCUCAGUACAAUAAAGCCCUGGUGGUACUACUUCACUGGGAAGUAGAUUGGCAGUGACUCAAGUUCAGAGGCUGGCAGAAAUGAUUCAUACUUGAUCUGACAAGGGAUUCACAGAGUCUCCCAAACACCUUGAGUCAAGACAUCUGUUGUGUGAAGUGCAUCCUCUCCCUGACGAAAAGGAUUAAUACAGUGGAAUUGUCAUCACUAAGUCUCAGAGCAACCCCAUCCACUUCCAGUCAGCUCAUUUUGGCUUUCUCACUUCACCCACAGUGAUAUUUGCUUGCAUACUUUAUGUGAGCAUGUUCCCUGCUUCUAAAGACACAAGGAUCAAGAAGGGUUUUCCCAGUUUUACUGUCAAAUAAUGACACCUGUAGAGAGUGCCUGAUGACAGAUUUGAGCUACCUGAUAAGUAUAAACCAAUCCCCUUUGCUAUCUGAAAAUAAUACAUCAGCCCAGUGAAAAAUAGCUUUGGCAGUAAUUUGUUUAGUUCCAAGAUGGAUUUACUUUCAUGUAAGAAUGAAAAAAAAUGCUUUUAUGGUCAUACAGAACCAAUAUUUGUCUCUGUUGAUAGAGGUGCAGAACUGCACAUAGGUGAGGAAAUUUGUUUAAAUUAUGUUUCCUCACAAUUUAGGGUCUCCAAGGCAGCUGCAACUCAUGAAACAGUAGCAAGCAGAUUCUGCAUGCAAGCCAGGAUCCUAAUAAACUACUUGGCUGGGUGGUUGAGGCUGAUCUUCAUCAUCGUGUCUGAGCAGAUUAGAGAUCUUUUUAAGCAAGACAAUGCAAAAGCCUUUUUAUACAGCAUACACACACUGAACAUAAGCCAAGCUUAUUGAGUUUUGUGCUAGCAGCCUGCCCUCAGAAGAAUCAGCACAGCACUAUUUCUCCUAUUCACAGCAGAGACCUGCAUUUCUCAGGCUCAUCAGUACAGGGCUGCAGUCUUUCCAGCUAUGUUUUGAGAGGCAAACAUGGUAUGAAAGCCUCGUGAAAGAUUUAUGAUAGAUCUGCAUCUUUAUAUGUUAAUGCAAAACUUAAAGCUGCCAUUCAAGCUUUUCCUGUUGCCAUCUUACUAGUAAAUAAUAUACUUGAUUCAGUACCUUUACAGAUUUAUAUGGCUGUCAACACAUUUAAAAAAAACAAACAAACAAAACAAACAAACAAAAAAAAAAAAAAAAAAAAAACAAAACAGAAGUCUUGUGCCUCCACCACAAACUACAACUAGACAGAGUUACAGUGCAAGGAUAGUCAAAGGAUUUAAAUGUGUUAU